GAUCUGGCCCAUUGCAGUUAGUGAGGCUGUCCUUUGGUUCCAUACUGGUUUUUUCUGCUCUCUCCAUUGCUAGAACUUUCAGAAGGACAAGGGACAGAGACUGGAAGAAUAAGUAGGUACACAGCGGAAGAGUAGUUCUUGUAGAUUCUUCUUCAAAACUGUGAAGCUGUUCAGAACCAAAUCUCCUUUGGCCACCCUCAGCAGGCCCGUCUUUGAAGAUCUACACAGUGAGUUAUUUUGACACAUGGCACAGCUAUGGCUCUUUGGGUCCAUUUGGAUAGUUGAAGUUUCCAGUUCUCACUUUGUUUUGUUAUGUUCUUUCUUUUCCAAAAUUGCAUGGAUAGCCCUGUUUGAAUGAAAAAGCUUCUCUGAUGUUAACAUGCUGGUUCAGUUACAUUCUUUUCCAAAAUUGUGUGGACAGUCCUUUUUGAAUGUAAAAGCUUAUCUGCUGUUAACAUGCUAGUUCGGUUAAAAUAGGAGUUGAUACCUUAAUUUUAAAGAAAUAACAGACGCUCUUGUUCUUUUUAAUGAAUAGUUCUGGGGCCUUUGGUUGGAUUGGGGGGCAUUGUUCUUCAGAUGCAUUCCUUCUAUCUUGUGUGGAUUUUUGCUGGCUUUCUUUGGGAAAACUGGGUGGGCUGGGGUUGCUUUUCAUAGAUCUCUGGAGGAACCCAAGAAGUUGCCAUUUCAAUUGACAAACCCACAGGUAGGGCACCUUUUUUUGCUCUUUUUAUACAAAGUUAUAAUGUUUUUGUGGGAGGAAUUCCUUUUCGAUGUUUUAUCAUGUGUUUAAACUGUUGUGGUCUAACAACCUGAUUGAUAUUCACUAUCAGCCACAGCCGUCAUGUCAGUAAGUACCAUUGCUUUUAUCUUGGUCUACAUAGAAAUGUAUUAUUCUGUUUAUUUAUAUGGGAUUCCUGGUUUUGAACAGACAGACUGGGGAAUUGUGAGAUUACCUUUUUCACAGGUCAAGAUAAGAAACCCCUAGACCAACAAAUGUGUGCUUUGGUGAAGAAAAGGUAUUUAUUUCUUCUGUUUUCAUAUCAUGCAUAACUUAGAUUGCUAUGAUUUACCAUAGGUGAAGUAGUAAACUUAAAAUCUUGGUUUAUACCAUAAAUAUCUGUGACGGCUCACUUUUACAUUACAUAUUAAACAUAUUUAAAUAUUUAAAAAUAUGUAAUAUUCCCUUUUUAAUUAUAUAUUAUUUAAUUUUAAUUUAAUUUUAAUUUAAUUUUUAAAUUUAAUUUUAGCUUAUUUUAUUUCAUGUUUUGUUAUGACCAUUGUUUAUUUGCUCCUGACAUUGAAUGUUUGCCAUUUUUGUUAUACUUUGGAAACCGCCCUGUGUCCCUCUGAAGAGAGAGGGUAGGGUAUACUGUACAUAAAGUUUUGUUGUCAUUGUUUUAUAUUUAUUAUUCAAAGCUAGAUCUAGUAGAUUUUGUCUCUAAUUUUUAACUUCUAAGCAGAAAAGAAGAAGCAUUAACUCUGCACGGACAUCAAAUCCUGCUCAGUACUACUGUUCCCAUGAUAUUUUUAAAAAUACAGAAGAAAGACACAUUUCUUAAUAAGGUAAGUAAUAUCUAAAUGUCUAUGCAUUCUGAAUAUCGUGACUGGAACUCUUACCUGAAUUGUUUUUAAAAGCUUUUUAUUCAUUUAUUUUAAUUGUAUUUGAACUAUUUUGCUGUAGUAGUUGUACAAUUUGAAUUAUAUUUUAAUACUGAGCUUUUGUCAGUGUUUAAUGUUAUUGCUUCUUAAGUGUUGUUGUUUAAAAUUUCAAUUUUGAAGUUGAGCAGAACAACAAUAAUACCUGACUAUAUAGGAGUUCUCCGUUGUGCCCAUGUUUUGAAGAGGUAGUCUGCUAAGCCUCUUUUAGGUCACAAGAAGCAAUUUCUGCUUGCAGAAAUGGAAGCAGGUUUUAUCAUCCUAAUUCUGACAGGUUUUCUUUUCCUGAGACAACACGUUUGUGUUGUCUCAGGUUUUGCUUUUCCCUUGUCGCAUUGUCAGAAAAAAGCAAAAGACACUGGUGGUUGGCGCUCCUGGCUUCCAGGACGGGGUUCGAGUCCCUGUGGUGUCCUCGCUGGCUUCCCAAUGCGACUGGGACUCCUCCUUAUAGGGGAUCCAAUAUCAAGGGGGUGAUCCAAUAUCAAGGGGGCAUUCAUAUUUGUAUGCUUGUCCAUAAUGCCCUGCCUCAUGCACAGAGGAAGAAUUUUUUAAAACUACAGAGGUGGUCGCGGUUGCUGUCUUUGGUCAAAAAUUAUUUAGUUGCUUGUGUACCCUCUAUUUUUAAUCGGUUUUAUACUUAUCUAUUCAAUGCUUUUGACACAAAAUAAACUAAUCACGUUUGGUAUUACUUGCUUUGGGAAUCAGAACUAAAUGGGAAAAGGAACUAUUACUGAUUUUUUUUUUCCUGCAGGAAAAGGUAUUUAAAAGUUAUAAGAGCAAUAUGUAAAAAGAAAUACAAUACUAUGAUUUUCACUUCAUACAAAAACAUCUAAGGACAACACUGAGAAAAUAAAGCACUCUGUGGAGAGUCCAGGGUGUGAGAAAAUCACACCCUGGAUUCUCCACAGAUAUAUAUUAACCUUCCUUGCCUAGUUUCUCCAUGCCUCACAACCUCUGAGGAUGCCUGCCAUAGAUGUGGGUGAAACAUUAGGAGAGAAUACUUCUAGAACAUGACCAUACAGCCCGGAAUACAUACAACAACCCUGUGAUCCCGGCCAUGAAAGCCUUCGACAAGCACUCUUAGUUAAAUACUACCAUCUUGUGGUAAUUCUAGUGAAAAGCUAUGAAUAAAAUGUUCACCUAAGUUUCUUCUAGAAAAAGCAAAAAAUUCAGAAAUGCUUUACCUUCACAUUCUUAUGUUCUGAAACCUUUUCUCAACUAAUUCAUGCAUAAUUUACAAGAGGUAGGAGUCUAAAUAAUGUUUUCAUUUCUUUUUCACACCAUAAAUUGGUGAGAAAGAGGGGAAGUCACAGGGAGGUGGGAGCAAGCUUGUUUUCUGCUGCCCUGAAAACUAGGAGAACAGUGGUUUCAAAGUACAGGAAAGGAGAUUCCACCUGAACCUUAGGAAGAACUUUCUAACUGUGAGAGCUGUUCAGCAGUGGAACUCUCUGCCCCAGAGUGUGGUAGAAAUUCCUCCUUUGGAGGCUUUUAAGCAGAGGCUGGGUGGCCAUCAGUCUAGGGUGUUUUGAAUUGGAUUUUCCUGCUUCUUGGUAGGGAGUUGGACAGGAUGGCCCACGAAGUCUCUUCCAACUCUAUUAUUCUAUGAUUACCUACUACCUUCUCAGACUGUGCUAAAAAAUGAAUUCACUGCUUACAGUUUUGUCAGCCAAAAUCCCAUUUCAUAACUCUAAAUGAGUAUCUGGUCAACCAAAUGUCAGUAGAUCAAGUGAAAUAAAUGGGAUUCACAAUGGGUUUUCUCUAGUUUCAAAUACAGUAGAGUCUCCCUUAUCCAACAUAAAUGGGCUGGCAGAAAGUUGGAUAAACGAAAAUGUUGGAUAAUGAGGGAUUAAGGAAAAAGCCUAUUAAACGUCAAAUUAUGUUAUGAUUUUACAAAUUAAGCAGCAAAAACAUCAUGUUUUACAACAAAUUGACAGAAAAAGCAGUCCAACACAUGGUAACAUUAUGUAAUAAUUACUGUAUUUAUUAAUUUAGCACCAAAACAUCGCAAUAUAUUGAAAACAUUGACUACAAAAACAUUGGCUACUAACAAAUUGACUACAAAUAAAGGUACAAUUGCUUAAAAUGAACUUACAGUAGCAACAUUGUUGGAAAUUAAACCCAUAAAAUUCAAUCCUUGCUGCCUAGAGAAACAGCUGUGGAUCCGGGAGGGAGGCUGACUAUUGGAUAAUCCAGAAUGUUGGAUAAGUGAGACUCUACUGUAAUUUGAUGCCACAAACACAACUGUAAAAUGGGCCAGCAUUAAGAAAACUAUGAGUCCUGAGUAAGUAAACACCUGGUUGCAUCAGCUCAGCGAAUGGAAAGAAUUAGAAUCAGGUGCAUGAAUAUUUAGAUAAAUGCAGAAGUUUGUUAGGUGAGCGGGUGGCAUUUCAAAAGGAUCAUAACUUUGAGGAUUCUUUCUUCAUAAUAAAGGUGUUGCAGUUGGGUUGCUGUGAGUUUUCCAGGCUGUAUGGUCAUGUUCUAGAAGCAUUCUCUCCUGAUGUUUCACCCACAUC